AUUAUUAUGAGGUGGCACGAAAUCGGGGGUAGCAACUGUUUAACAAAAACACAAGACUUUGCGAAGUUGUAAAACGCUGUAUAAGGUCUGACACCUGCCCGGUGCUGCAAACUUAAAGGGAAAGGUGAAGUAUAUGAUAGUUUUCUAUCGUGUAUGGAGCUUCGAACUGAUUGUUCAGUAAACGGCGGUCGUAACUCUAACGAUCCUAAGGUAGCGAAAUUCCUUGU
rnacentral:rRNA from 1 species